rnacentral:rRNA from 1 species
UGUGGGUGGCGAGUGGCGGACGGGUGAGGAAUACAUCGGAAUCUACCUUGUCGUGGGGGAUAACGUAGGAAACUUACGCUAAUACCGAUACGAACUAUGGUUGAAAGCAGCGGACCGCAAGCGUCGCGCGAUUGGAUGAGCCGAUGUCCGAUUAGCUAGUUGGCGGGGUAAAGGCCCACCAAGGCGACGAUCGGUAGCUGGUCUGAGAGGAUGAUCAGCCACACUGGAACUGAGAACACGGUCCAGACUCCUACGGGAGGCAGCAGUGGGGAAUAUUGGACAAUGGGCGCAAGCCUGAUCCACGCCAUGCCGCGUGUGUGAAGAAGGCCUUCGGGUUGUAAAGCACUUUUGUUGGGGAAGAAAAGCACUCAAUUAAUACCUGGGUGUUCUGACGGUACCCAAAGAAUAAGCACCGGCUAACUUCGUGCCAGCAGCCGCGGUAAUACGAAGGGUGCAAGCGUUACUCGGAUUCACUGGGCGUAAAGGGUGCGUAGUGGCUGGGUAAGUUUGAGGUGAAAGCUCCGGGCUCCAACCCGGGAAAUUGCCUUGAAUACUAUUCGGCUAGAAGGUUGGAGGGGAGACUGGAAUUCUCGGUGUAGCAGUGAAAUGCGUAGAUAUCGAGAGGAACACCAGUGGCGAAGGCGAGUCUCUGGACAACAUCUGACACUGAGGCACGAAAGCCAAGGGAGCAAACGGGAUUAGAUACCCCGGUAGUCUUGGCUGUAAACGGUGCGCACUUGCUGGAGCGGAUUCGACCCGUUCGUGGCGAAGUUAACACGAUAGUGCGCCGCU